CACGUAGGGGGCAAGCGUUGUCCGGAUUUAUUGGGCGUAAAGAGCUCGUAGGCGGUCUGUCGCGUCGGGUGUGAAAAUCCAGGGCUUAACCCUGGACCUGCAUUCGAUACGGGCAGACUAGAGUUCGGUAGGGGAGACUGGAAUUCCUGGUGUAGCGGUGAAAUGCGCAGAUAUCAGGAGGAACACCGGUGGCGAAGGCGGGUCUCUGGGCCGAUACUGACGCUGAGGAGCGAAAGCGUGGGGAGCGAACAGG
rnacentral:rRNA from 1 species